rnacentral:misc_RNA from 1 species
GAAAUGCGAUACGUAGUGUGAAUUGCAGAAUUCAGUGAAUCAUCGAAUCUUUGAACGCACAUUGCGCCCUUUGGUAUUCCAAAGGGCAUGCCUGUUCGAGCGUCAUUUGUACCCUCAAGCUUUGGUUGGUGUUGGGCGUCUUUUUGUCUCUCCCCUUGUUGGGGGAGACUCGCCUUAAAACGAUUGGCAGCCGACCUACUGGUUUUCGGAGCGCAGCACAAAUUUGCGCCUUCCAAUCCACGGGGCGGCAUCCAGCAAGCCUUUGUUUUCUAUAACAAAUCCACAUUUUGACCUCGGAUCAGGUAGGGAUACCCGCUGAACUUAAGC